UACAGAGGUCCCAAGCGUUGUUCGGAUUCACUGGGCGUAAAGGGCGCGCAGGCGGGCUGGUAAGUUCGAUGUGAAAGCCCCGGGCUUAACCCGGGAAUGGCAUUGGAUACUACUGGUCUGGAGGAUUGGAGGGGGGACUGGAAUUCUUGGUGUAGCAGUGAAAUGCGUAGAUAUCAAGAGGAACACCAGUGGCGAAGGCGAGUCCCUGGACAAUUCCUGACACUGAGGCACGAAAGCCAAGGGAGCAAACAGG
rnacentral:rRNA from 1 species